UACGUAGGGUCCGAGCGUUGUCCGGAAUUACUGGGCGUAAAGAGCUCGUAGGUGGUUUGUCGCGUUGUUCGUGAAAACUCACAGCUCAACUGUGGGCGUGCGGGCGAUACGGGCAGACUUGAGUACUGCAGGGGAGACUGGAAUUCCUGGUGUAGCGGUGGAAUGCGCAGAUAUCAGGAGGAACACCGGUGGCGAAGGCGGGUCUCUGGGCAGUAACUGACGGCUGAGGAGCGGAAGGCCAGGGGAGCAAACAGG
rnacentral:rRNA from 1 species